rnacentral:lncRNA from 1 species
GUCAUCAUUUCCAUAAAGGUACCAAGUACAGAGCUUGUGCUUUCAGGUGCUUUGAGUGCUCGAUACUGCAAUUAUUCAAGCUUGAAUUGACCUGCUCAAACAUGCGAUGGAAAUGAAUGACACACACACACACUUUUCAUUUCUUCAAUUCUGAUGCCCCAUCAAGCAGUUUUGUUUCACUAACUCCCAAAUAAUGUCAAUCCUGUUUCAUUGUGCUUGUGUCCAUCUCUUUACACGUGUAAUGACGAAGGUCUUAAAGGAUUACAGCAUGUACACAGAUAACCCACCUAUGACAUGUAAGAAGGAAAAAGGGAACGUGAAUGGACUGAUAAAACUGGGGGACUGCUCUGGCAUCCUACAGGUAUGCUUUCAAAAUAUUGGGGUUGAGUCAGUUAUGUUAGAGCAGCUUAAUUAGGUUGAGCCUUAAUAAACACCAACAUUAAUAUCUGUGUACAAAGAUUAUAUAAAAGAGGUUAAAAGGUUUCAUGGUACAUUUAUGCAUGAUGUCCUGUUUUUCUAUUUUUCUCCAGCGGCGAAAGAAACCGGAAGCGUUGGAUCUACAAAGGCCCUGGUUGGAUCAAACCCCACACAAGGACUUUGUCAAAACGUCACCAUCAAGGACAAGUCAUCUCAGCCCACGAGCAGUGCAUAAAGAUCUGUGGCAUGCCUCACGACCCUACAGCAACGAGAUUGAUACAUACGAGUCCAAUUCAUUCACUGAAGAUGUUAAUUCUGACUCUAUUGUAAAGAAAGCACCUGGUCUGAAAAUGAAAACGAACAUUGAUGCUAUUAAGGAAGAGCUGGCCAAAGCUGAGGCCCUGUUGGGAAGUCUGGAAAGAAGUGUGAGCUCGGCGAGCUUCACCAGCCCUCCAGCCAGCCCAUGUACCAGUUUCAUUCACACUGCUGGAAGACGCUGGAGCAACACCUCGAGUCCGACUACGAGCUCUGUUGGGAGUCCCUAUAAGUCAACAACAAGCCCAAGCAACAGCCCUACCAUGAGUCCUUUGGAUAAGGUCAUGACAUUUCCUCACAAGUCAGAUCUCUGUGAGAAAGCUUCCACCUUUUCUGGAAGUUCUUCAAGCAUUGGGACCCAGUUAUCAAACUCUUCUGCCUUGCUCAUCCCCAGUACAACUUCCCAUCAGGUUCAAAGUAAUAUAUCUUCACUCCUGCAGCGUAAUGCUGGAAGUGUUUGGGUUCAAAGCCUUCCGUCUCCCACUGGUCGACUGACUUUUCUUACUAACACCAUUGGCAGCACCAGGGAGGCAAAGUUUGCACAGUCUGGUCAGCUGUUUCGCCCACAGGCUUCACCAAUGAUUAGGACAAUACCCACCACCCAAAUCCAUGAGAAAGAGCAACAACCCCUCUCUACCCAUCUGUACUCAUCUUUGCAGCAGCAAUAA